rnacentral:rRNA from 1 species
AGAGUUUGAUCAUGGCUCAGAUUGAACGCUGGCGGCAUGCCUUACACAUGCAAGUCGUACGCGAAAGGGGGCAACCCCGAGUAGAGUGGCGAACGGGUGGGCAAUACAUCGGAACGUGUCCUGUAGCGGGGGACAACCUCGAGAAAUCGAGGCUAAUACCGCAUACGAUCUACGGAUGAAAGUGGGGGACCGCAAGGCCCCACACUAUAGGAGCGGCCGAUGCCGGAUUAGCUAGUUGGUGGGGUAAUGGCCUACCAAGGCGACGAUCCGUAGCUGGUUUGAGAGAACGACCAGCCACACUGGGACUGAGACACGGCCCAGACUCCUACGGGAGGCAGCAGUGGGGAAUUUUGGACAAUGGGCGAAAGCAUGAUCCGGCCAUGCCGCGUGAGUGAAGAAGGCCUUCGGGUUGUAAAGCUCUUUCGGCGGGGACGAAAUAGCGCGGGGUAAUAUCCCGCGUCGAUGACGGUACCCGAAGAAGAAGGACCGGCUAACUACGUGCCAGCAGCCGCGGUAAUACGUAGGGUCCAAGCGUUAAUCGGAAUUACUGGGCGUAAAGCGUGCGUAGACGGUCUCGCAAGUCCGAUGUGAAAUCCCCGAGCUUAACUUGGGAACUGCGUUGGAAACUAUGAGGCUAGAGUGCGGCAGAGGGGGGUGGAAUUCCAGGUGUAGCAGUGAAAUGCGUAGAGAUCUGGAGGAACACCGAUGGCGAAGGCAGCCCCCUGGGCCAGCACUGACGCUGAUACACGAAAGCGUGGGGAGCAAACAGGAUUAGAUACCCUAGUAGUCC